rnacentral:rRNA from 1 species
AUGCUUUCACAACUUGAUUUCAAAAUAUUUGGUUUGGAGACCAUCAAAGAUCAAUAUGUGCCUGAUGCUGAUUUUAAAGAUGUAAUGCAGAAUUGUAAAGAAGGAAGAAUGUGGAACAAGUUUGUCGUUAACGAUGGAUUUGCGUUUCGUGCUAACAAGCUAUGCAUUCCAGCUAGCUCCGUUCGUCUUUUGUUGUUGCAGGAGGCGCAUGGAGGAGGAUUCAUGGGACACUUUGGUGUGAAGAAGACGGAGGACGUCCUUGCUACACAUUUCUUUUGGCCAAAGAUGAGACGGGAUGUUGAGCGGGCUGUUUUGAAGAAUAAUUAG